CCUACGGGAGACAGCAGUGAGGAAUAUUGGUCAAUGGGCGCGAGCCUGAACCAGCCAAGUCGCGUGAGGGAAGACGGUCCUAUGGAUUGUAAACCUCUUUUGUCGGGGAGCAAAAGACGCCACGCGUGGCGUUCCGAGAGUACCCGAAGAAAAAGCAUCGGCUAACUCCGUGCCAGCAGCCGCGGUAAUACGGAGGAUGCGAGCGUUAUCCGGAUUUAUUGGGUUUAAAGGGUGCGUAGGCGGGACGGUAAGUCAGCGGUAAAAAUGCGGAGCUCAACUCCGUCGAGCCGUUGAAACUGUCGUUCUUGAGUGAGCGAGAAGUAUGCGGAAUGCGUGGUGUAGCGGUGAAAUGCAUAGAUAUCACGCAGAACUCCGAUUGCGAAGGCAGCAUACCGGCGCUCAACUGACGCUGAAGCACGAAGGCGUGGGUAUCGAACAGGAUUAGAUACCCUUGUAGUC
rnacentral:rRNA from 1 species